UGGCUUAGUGGUAGAGUGCUUGCCUCACAUGCAUGAGGCCCUGGGUUUGAUUCCUGG
rnacentral:tRNA from 1 species